rnacentral:rRNA from 1 species
ACGAACGCUGGCGGCGCGCCUAACACAUGCAAGUCGAACGGAGCUGAGAGAAGCUUGCUUUUCUUAGCUUAGUGGCGAACGGGUGAGUAACGCGUGAGUAACCUGCCCUGGAGUGGGGGACAACAGUUGGAAACGACUGCUAAUACCGCAUAAGCCCACGAUCCGGCAUCGGAUUGAGGGAAAAGGAUUUAUUCGCUUCAGGAUGGACUCGCGUCCAAUUAGCUAGUUGGUGAGGUAACGGCCCACCAAGGCGACGAUUGGUAGCCGGACUGAGAGGUUGAACGGCCACAUUGGGACUGAGACACGGCCCAGACUCCUACGGGAAGCAGCAGUGGGGGAUAUUGCACAAUGGGGGAAACCCUGAUGCAGCGACGCCGCGUGGAGGAAGAAGGUUUUCGGAUUGUAAACUCCUGUCGUUAGGGACGAUAAUGACGGUACCUAACAAGAAAGCACCGGCUAACUACGUG